ensembl:snoRNA
UGGACCAGUGAUGAGGACGGUGGCAUAGGAGUCAUGGACGAUGAAACUAUGUGUCUGAAACUCUGAGGUCCAA